rnacentral:rRNA from 1 species
CCUACGGUGUGCAGCAGUGGGGAAUAUUGGACAAUGGGCGAAAGCCUGAUCCAGCCAUGCCGCGUGUGUGAAGAAGGCCUUCGGGUUGUAAAGCACUUUCAGUGGGGAAGAAAGCCUUGGGGCUAAUACCCUCGAGGAAGGACAUCACCCACAGAAGAAGCACCGGCUAACUCCGUGCCAGCAGCCGCGGUAAUACGGAGGGUGCGAGCGUUAAUCGGAAUUACUGGGCGUAAAGCGCGCGUAGGCGGUCUGAUAAGCCGGUUGUGAAAGCCCCGGGCUCAACCUGGGAACGGCAUCCGGAACUGUCAGGCUAGAGUGCAGGAGAGGAAGGUAGAAUUCCCGGUGUAGCGGUGAAAUGCGUAGAGAUCGGGAGGAAUACCAGUGGCGAAGGCGGCCUUCUGGACUGACACUGACGCUGAGGUGCGAAAGCGUGGGUAGCAAACAGGAUUAGAUACCCCAGUAGU